GAUGAACGCUGGCGGCGUGCUUAACACAUGCAAGUCGAACGGAAAGGCUCCUGCUUGCAGGGGUACUCGAGUGGCGAACGGGUGAGUAACACGUGGGUGAUCUGCCCUGCACUUCGGGAUAAGCCUGGGAAACUGGGUCUAAUACCGGAUAGGACGAUGGCUUGGAUGCCAUUGUGGAAAGUUUUUCGGUGUGGGAUGAGCUCGCGGCCUAUCAGCUUGUUGGUGGGGUAAUGGCCUACCAAGGCGUCGACGGGUAGCCGGCCUGAGAGGGUGUACGGCCACAUUGGGACUGAGAUACGGCCCAGACUCCUACGGGAGGCAGCAGGGGGGAAUAUUGCACAAUGGGCGCAAGCCUGAUGCAGCGACGCCGCGUGGGGGAGGACGGCCUUCGGGUUGUAAACUCCUUUCGCUAGGGACGAAGCGUUUUGUGACGGUACCUGGAGAAGAAGCACCGGCUAACUACGUG
rnacentral:rRNA from 1 species